GGGUGUGUAGCUCAGUUGGUUAGAGCGCAGUCCUGAUAAGACUGAGGUCCUCGGUUCGAUUCCAAGUACACCCACCA
rnacentral:tRNA from 1 species